rnacentral:rRNA from 1 species
AGAGUUUGAUCAUGGCUCAGGACGAACGCUGGCGGCGUGCUUAACACAUGCAAGUCGAACGGAAAGGCCCUUCGGGGUACUCGAGUGGCGAACGGGUGAGUAACACGUGGGUGAUCUGCCCUGCACUUUGGGAUAAGCCUGGGAAACUGGGUCUAAUACCGAAUAGGACCGCGCUCUUCAUGGGGUGUGGUGGAAAGCUUUUGCGGUGUGGGAUGGGCCCGCGGCCUAUCAGCUUGUUGGUGGGGUAAUGGCCUACCAAGGCGACGACGGGUAGCCGGCCUGAGAGGGUGACCGGCCACACUGGGACUGAGAUACGGCCCAGACUCCUACGGGAGGCAGCAGUGGGGAAUAUUGCACAAUGGGCGCAAGCCUGAUGCAGCGACGCCGCGUGAGGGAUGACGGCCUUCGGGUUGUAAACCUCUUUCAGUAGGGACGAAGCGAAAGUGACGGUACCUACAGAAGAAGGACCGGCCAACUACGUGCCAGCAGCCGCGGUAAUACGUAGGGUCCGAGCGUUGUCCGGAAUUACUGGGCGUAAAGAGCUCGUAGGUGGUUUGUCGCGUUGUUCGUGAAAACUCACAGCUUAACUGUGGGCGUGCGGGCGAUACGGGCAGACUAGAGUACUGCAGGGGAGACUGGAAUUCCUGGUGUAGCGGUGGAAUGCGCAGAUAUCAGGAGGAACACCGGUGGCGAAGGCGGGUCUCUGGGCAGUAACUGACGCUGAGGAGCGAAAGCGUGGGUAGCGAACAGGAUUAGAUACCCCGGUAGUCCAA